GCCAGAUUAGCAUAGUGUGCCGCCGGUGUUACGUCGGUCUGCGUUUCUCUUGCUCUUACCUCAGUGUAACUUCUGUUGCUUAGCAACCAGGUUAGCGUGAAGCGCAGAGCUGUGAAGCCGAACAAAUGGAGCCUGAAGGAAACCCAGCGGGAGUUUGAAGACAAUGUGCCGGGAGUCAGCUGUUCUCUUGGGGUUUAGCGCACCUCUACCACCCAGUCAGCUGACAGCUGGUGAGGCGAGCAGCUGCUGGGGCAGCGGACGAACACAUCGACACAUUUGUGGUGGGCCACGGAGGAUACAAUGGACCCAUCCAUCAAAUCUGGGGAAAAGAAGGACGCAUUUGUUGGAACCUUGGAGAUUGGACAGUAUUUGUCGCCUCACCCAGGACGUUAUCGGCCUACAAAUGCAUCCUUUAAAAGAUUGCAGACCUUAGUUUGGACACAGCAAUAGUGAA